rnacentral:rRNA from 1 species
AUGUGCUAUGAUGAAUAUCAGCAAGAGUCACUUGAUAGGCAUUGGGCAGUGAUGGUAAAGACAUUCAGGUCAUUAGACGAGGUGUACACGUUCUACAACAAGCACGCGAGAGAACGUGGGUUCAGCAUCAGAAAGGACUCGCUAAAAUUUUCGAAGGAUAGCGCAAGGACUCCGCGCUUGAGGAGGUAUCUCUGUUCCGCCGCAGGAAAACGACAGGCCAAGUUCUGUACCAUGGACGGCCGGACCCGCUGGCUUAGACCGGAGAGUCGAUUCUUAUGCGAAGCCCAUUUGACAGUUAAGCUUGAUAAAAAGCUCAAUCUUUGGUAUGUCAGCAGUUUCUCCGAUGAUCACAGCCACACUCUUGCACGACCGGACGAAGUCCCUUUCCUCCGAUCUCAUAAUCAGAUCAAAGCAUUUGAGAGAGCUGAGAUCUUAGCUAUGGCUGGAGCUGGGAUAAAAAAAUAUAUCAUUUUUGACAACAUCGUUAGCAGGUAUGGGUCGUAUGCAAAGUCACCAUUUCAGAGGACAAAGCUGUAUAACAUGUGCUAUAGGGAGAAGAUGAAAUUGCUUGCACAAGGUGAUGCUGAUACUGCCGUAGGAAUCAUGUUGACCAAAAAGGACAGAGAUCCAGACUUCUUCUUUGAGCACACGGUUGACACUGAAGGCAGGCUCCAAAACCUCUUCUGGUGUGAUUCGCAGUCACGCCGGGAUUAUCUAGACUAUGGUGAUGUUGUUGUGUUCGAUAGCACAUACAAGAUGAACAGGUAUGGAAUGCCGUUCAUCCCUUUUGUGGGUCUGAACAACCACCGUUGCACUACGGUAUUCGCCUGCGCCAUUGUUUCAGACGAGACUGAGGCUACAUAUGUUUGGUUGCUUAACACGUUCUUGAAAGCUAACUGUCAGAAGAGGCCCAAAUCUGUAAUUACAGAUGGAGAUGCAGCGAUGAUAAGGGUUAUUAGGAAGGUGCUUUCUGACGUGUGGCAUCGUCUAUGUUCAUGGCAUAUUGAAAAGAAUAUGCAGAAACACCUCAACCACAAGUCAUUGAAGGAGUUUAGGGCAUUAUUGUACUAUGCCACUACACAUAAGGUUUUUGAGGAGAGAUGGGCCGCGUUUGUGCGCAAAUGGCAGACGGAGAAAACGAAAACAUGGCUCCAUAGGAUGUACAGGAAGAGGACACUUUGGGCUGCAUCAUAUUUGUCUGGUGGGUUUUUCCUUGGUAUGCGCAGUAAUCAGAGGAGUGAGAGUCUGAACUCCAGCCUGCACCUUCAUCUUGACUAUGGCAUGACGAUCGUUGACAUGAUUGUACACUACGAGAAUUGUAUUGUUCGCCUCCGUGAGAAUGAAGCUUAUGAUGACUACACGGCCUCACAGACUCUUCCAGUAACAGUGACUGAGUGUCAGGCCAUUGAGUCGUAUGCUGCGAAAGCAUUCACGCAGGCAAACUUUUAUAUGUUGUAA